GACGAACGCUGGCGGCGUGCUUAAUACAUGCAAGUCGAACGGAAAGGCUCUGCUUUUGUGGGGUUCUCGAGUGGAGAAAGGGUGAGUAACACGUGAGUAACAUGUCCUUGUCUUUGGGAUAACUUCAGGAAAAAGGGGCUCAUACCGGAUAGGAUCUCUUGCUGCAUGGUGGGGGUUGGAAAGAUUCGGCGGUUGGGGAUGGACUCGCGGCUUAUCAGCUUGUUGGUGAGGUAGUGGCUUACCAAGGCUUCGACGGGUAGCCGGCCUGAGAGGGUGACCGGCCACAUUAGGACUGAGAUACGGCCCAGACGCCUACGUGAGGCAGCAGUGGAAAAUUGUGCGCAAUAGGCGGAAGCCUGAUACAACGACGCCGCGUGCGGAAUGACGGCCUUCGGGGUAUAAACCGCUUUCGCCUGUGACGAAGCGUGAGUGACGGUAAUUGGUAAGGAAGCACCGGCUAACUACGUG
rnacentral:rRNA from 1 species